rnacentral:rRNA from 1 species
GUCCAGACUCCUACGGGAGGCAGCAGUGGGGAAUAUUGCACAAUGGGCGCAAGCCUGAUGCAGCCAUGCCGCGUGUGUGAAGAAGGCCUUCGGGUUGUAAAGCACUUUCAGCGGGGAGGAAGGCGGUGAGGUUAAUAACCUCAUCGAUUGACGUUACCCGCAGAAGAAGCACCGGCUAACUCCGUGCCAGCAGCCGCGGUAAUACGGAGGGUGCAAGCGUUAAUCGGAAUUACUGGGCGUAAAGCGCACGCAGGCGGUCUGUCAAGUCGGAUGUGAAAUCCCCGGGCUCAACCUGGGAACUGCAUUCGAAACUGGCAGGCUAGAGUCUUGUAGAGGGGGGUAGAAUUCCAGGUGUAGCGGUGAAA